UGGUUCUGGUCCUGCCAUGAGUGCAGGGGACUGGACUUGUUGUCAUCUCGAGGUCCCUUCCAGUUCUGUGAUUCUAAACCGUCCACACUGUUCUGUGCAGCGCUAUUGAUUUAAGGCGGGAAUUGCUGUUGAUAGGCAGGGGGUGAAAUCUGUGGUCUGCUUGAGGGACCCAUCUGGGCACUGAUGGAAGGGGACAGAGUUGAGGUUGUUUGGCAGGAGUAUCCUUAACCCAGCAUCUCCUACUUCGCUAGCCAUUGAAUGUUGAGUAUUCAGUGCUCCCAUUCUGAAGAGGUAUGAAGAGCACAGAGCAGUGCUGACCCCCUACAAUGAUAAAAAAAAUUUUUGCAUGUGAUUAAUGGAAAUCCAUGGAAGAGUCAGGUGAUGACUGUUCCCUUGGGAUAGGAGUCCCCGUAUCUACUAACUACGCUGAAACCUGCCUUGUGAGAGAUGCUAAUAUACUCUCUCUUCUCCUCCUCCUCUGCACAGCAAAUGACCAAGGAUCUAGUGACUCUGAUGUAUCUGCCAGGGCUUAACAGAGCCUGUUGGAGUCUGUGCCACAACCUGAGGGGAUCCCAGAGAGGAAGAUUGAUGAGCUCUGCUCUGUCUCUGUAGAAGAACCAAUCAACCUCUCCCUAGCUUUUCUCUGGCACUUGGAGCAUCCCGUGUGGGAUUUCUGGCCUCAUCUGUCUGCUCACUGGACCACUUUUUGCUUUUCAGAUGCAAUAGUAAUGUUUUAUUUGCAGAAAAUAAUUUUUAAAAUUUUAAUGGAUAAAAACUUUUAGUAAGA